AUGUCUAGGAGCUUCUACUUUGUAAUUGUUGGCCACCAUGAUAAUCCAGUUUUUGAAAGGGAGGUUUUGCCAGCUGGGAAGGCAGAAUCCAAACGUCAUCUGCACCAGUUCAUAGGCCAUGCUGCUCUCGACCUCAUAGAUGAGAACAUGUGACUUUUGAACAUGUACUUGAAAACUGUAGGCAAGUCCAGAAACUGGUUUGUGUCAGUAUUCAUUACUCCAGGGCAUCAUAUGAGAUUUAUUAUGCUUCAUGGCAAGAAGAUGGAAUAAAUCACAUCUUUACUGAUGUUUAUGAUUUACAUAUAAAA
rnacentral:lncRNA from 1 species